GGCGAGCCUCGCUCGGUACUUUAUUUUACAGCCGCUGCGCCUGCUCUUCACCGCCGUCGCUUCCCAUCGGCGGCCGCCCAAACCCCGGAACCCUCUCGGCCAAUGCCGACGCCGCUCGCCGCCUCCUGGCGCCGGCAUGCCUCCGCCGCGGCGUCCUCUUCCACUCCACGGACCCUCCUCUUGCUCGUCCCGGUUCUCAUCCUCCUCGUCUUCGUCCUCUCCAGAGCCCCAGAUCUCACCUUCGCCCCCGCCACAGCCGCUUCGCCCCACCUCCCCGCCCGGCUCCGCCCCUUCGACUGCUACGCCUCGCCGCAGGCCUCCCCGGUCUUGGCAAGCCUCGUGGAGGGCGUGCCCCGCCCCUUCCUCUACUCCCUCGCCGACCUGGGGUCGCUCCCCGACCGCCCGCACCGGAACAUCGCCCGCCUCCUCAAGGGCAAGCGCUUCCGCAAGCCCGACAUCUCCCAGACCGUUCAGGAGCUGCUCGCGGGGGAGGUAGGGAGGGGCUCCGGCGGCGGGGUGGUGGUGGACGUCGGGGCCAAUGUUGGGAUGGCGGCCUUCGCGGCGGCCGUGAUGGGGUUCCGGGUGGUGGCAUUCGAGCCGGUCUUCGAGAACCUGCAGCGGAUCUGCGACGGGGUUUACCUGAACCGGGUGCAGGACCAGGUGGUGGUGUAUCAUGCUGCAGCAUCUGACCGAGUUGGGAACAUCACAAUGCAUAAGGUGAUUGGACGACUCGACAACAGUGCUAUAUCUGCAACUGGUGCGAAGUUAGCAUUCAAAUCUAGUGAAGAAGUUGCUGUCGAGGUUGCUACAAUCCCAUUGGAUGAAGUCAUUUCAGAUGCAGAGCGAGUGGUUCUGAUCAAAAUUGAUGUUCAAGGUUGGGAAUCUCAUGUUCUGAGAGGUGCAUCAAAGUUGCUCUCAAGGAGGAGAGGUGAAGCUCCCUACCUUAUAUACGAAGAGGACGAGCGCCUGCUGCAGGCGAGCAACAGCAGUGCACAAGAGAUAAGGGCAUUUCUUGGCAGUGUUGGUUACAAUCAGUGUACGCGGCAUGGGACGGAUGCUCACUGUACAAAAGAAUAGACAAGCAUUUUCUGCCUGGUGGUUGGACGCCCCUCAGCUGGGGAUGCAUAGAACAGUCAAAUAGGAUAUCCUGAGCUAUUAGUUUGGUAUGCACAUGCUAAUUCCAGAUCUGCAUGGAAAGUUUGUACUCGUAACUUGGUCGCCUACAAUUUACCAAUUCGGGCGUCAUCCAUUGUGAAGAGGAAGAAGACUACGGUAGGUCUUAUGGCUCGAGGACGUAGAGCGCGAAGUACCGGAAGAAAGCACCAGGGAAGAAGAGAAGGAAGCCAUACUACAGGCAGUCACCAAGAACAAAGUGGAGCAAGAGAUCAUCAAUUUUUUGUCAAUCUCGUCAGAUGACGAGGAAGAUCACCAAGCUCUCGAGCUCAUCAAUGUGUACGAAGGCCAUCUACCUUGUACUUUCGUUGAGAAAUCUAUAAUACUCAGCGAUCCACAUCAGCAACUAUCAAACUCAGCGAUCCUGCCAUGUCUCUCAAUAGCCUUUUUCUCCUAAAAAAAUGGCCAUUCAGUUUU